UUCCUACUCUUCGACUGCCCCCCGCGACGAAGCCUACCAUCCCCCCAGCGAACGAAACAACGCUGAAACGUCGCAGAACUUUGGGUGAUGAGCCGGUUGAUGACCUGUACUGCUUCGAGGGCGACGCACCUCGUGAGCCUUGCGAGGACUGCUGCCGUUGCGGUCCCCGAGCAACCACACACGACGCAGCUGUUCAGACGUCUGCUGAGAUCCCGAGGCCGCCUCAGCCGCCUGCCGUGAGAAACGCUUCCGUGGGAACAGACCCUCGGCGGGGAAAGCAGACCGUCGGCACACAGGCAAACUUCUUCGCAAAAGGUGUGACCAGCGACUGGGUCCAGACUGAUGGUAGCGGUGACACAGCCAUCAGUGCCAGCACAUCGAUCCCAGUCCCCAGCGCUUCAGAUGACGAUGACAGCGACGAGGAGGAGGAGGAGGAGGACGAUGACGAGGACAAGGAUCCCACGUACGAGCCGUUCAUCAAAGAAAGCUGUGUUGGGUAAGAUUAUGGUUUUUCCUUCGCUUGAAACAGACAUUAUAGGAACAUGGAAGUGCUUAAAGGGACACUGACAGGGUAUUUAUGCCUGGGA